GUACAGAUGAAGAGUCCCAAGUAGGACGAAAUGCGCAUCCUGGAU
rnacentral:hammerhead_ribozyme from 1 species